UUGAAUAUACAAGAUAUACAAAUUUGAAAAUAAACCACAAAUAGUUGUAUUCGGUAGUCACUCACCCAAAGUUUCAAUGAAACUGUAAUUAUCAGUUAUUCCCCAAUUUCAACACAUUAUGAUAUUUGAUGAUUCAACUAAUAACUGAUCCCAGGGAGAAGCCUUCAAACCACAGACUUCUUCAUUCCAUUCACUUCUAAGCGUAUAAAUAGCUGUAACAUUCCAGGACCAGUCACUUUCCAUUUGUUAUAGCAGCAUCCAAGAGAAGAAACUAACUGGAAAAUUUGAGAAUACUUCUGAAAAAGAUGAAAGUUCUCCUUCUGCUCACAGCCAUGUUGGCAGUAACCACUGGUUUCCCAGUCUCUCCAGAACAGGAAAGAGAAAAACGAAGCAUCAGUGGAAGUGAUGAACUACCUUCACAGCUUUUUGUGCCCCCUAACAUAUAUCCAUUUUUCCCAUAUCCACCAUUCCUAAAUCCAUGGUCUAGGUAUUUUUAUCCUCCCAUUCCAGUAGCUCUGUCUGGACCUACAGCUAUCCCUCCUAAAGAAGAAUUAUUAGAAAAGAAAAGUCCCAGUGCAAUUUAGGACAAAAUAGGUGGUCAAAUUGAAUGUGAGCCACUUCCUUGAAGAAUAAAUUGCCUUGUUAAUAAAAGAAAAAUAAACGUGAUUGAAGCAGCAUACAGUGUUUUCUCAUUAAUAUCUCAAGCAGCUCUCUUUAGUAAACAUGAAAGAAAAGAUCUUGGCUACCCAUUUUCUAAAUGUGCACUGCUGGUAGGAAUGCAAAAUAAAUUUUAACAGAUUUUAAUAUACACUUCCUGAUGACUAACCAUUAUAGGGAAGGUACUGGCGAGGAGCUGACCAAAAUCAACCAGCCCUGGAAUCACCUUGAAUGAAAGUCUAUCAGUAGCUUAUGCUGUGAAGUUCUACUCCUUGUAUUAAUGAGACUAGAAGAUGAUUUAAUUUAAUUCAAAAACAUAUUGGAGUAACUGAGUCUGAAUCACUCAAAUACCUAUUUAAGUCUGUAAUUUGUAAGAUAGUAAGACUGAUGCAUUGGUAAAUGAUAUCAAAAACAACCAAGUCUCAAACUUAAAAAAAAACAUAUGGGUAAUGGGUGG